rnacentral:sRNA from 1 species
UUGUUGAUUACCGUAGCUACUUUCACAC